rnacentral:rRNA from 1 species
UACGGAGGGUGCAAGCGUUGUCCGGAUUUAUUGGGUUUAAAGGGUGCGUAGGCGGCUAUUUAAGUCAGUGGUGAAAUACUCCAGCUUAACUGGAGGGGUGGCAUUGAUACUGGAAGACUUGAGUGCAGUCGAGGUAGGCGGAAUUGACGGUGUAGCGGUGAAAUGCUUAGAUAUCGUCAAGAACACCGAUAGUGAAGACAGCUUACUAGGCUGCAACUGACGCUGAGGCACGAAAGUGUGGGGAUCAAACAGG